rnacentral:lncRNA from 1 species
GAAAUCCAGAAAAAGUGAUAAAGGAAUAAACCAAUCUUCUCUGUAUCAUUUUCCACAGGAAGAAAUGAUGAGACCACUCAAAAACCUUGUUCAAAAAAAUACAAAGGGGAAGAGCUGUUCAUUCAGUCUACGUUGACGACAAGGGCAGUUCCAACUCCGGAAAAGACAGCCUCUGCAAAGGGAGCCCGACCUGAGGAGCAGAUGCCAGCAGCUACAGAACGCAGAACACAGGAGGUACCCGACUGUUAAAACAUGCAGUCUGUUACGAAGAAAACGAAGAGCAUGGAGGAUUAUCAACGUAUAAAGCAUCUUUAUAGCUAACGCCUGUAUGUCCUUAUUCCCCAAAAGUAGACUGGCUUGCCCGUCCGUUUUAAGCUUGCACACGUUCAUUUUCAGGAUCUGGUAAGAAGGACCUGCCUGGUGAUAAAAGCAGAGCAGAGAGCGUGUAGAAAGCGUGCAGAGAGGCACACGGUGUAACUCCUUCAGUGCGCUUUUCACUCUUUAUCCCUGUUGUGCUGAAGUAUGAGUUACCUGUAUGCAUACAUCUAGCUUCUUAAGUUAAAACUUAAUCAAACC